AGCGAACGCUGGCGGCAGGCCUAACACAUGCAAGUCGAACGAACCUUUCGGGGUUAGUGGCGGACGGGUGAGUAACACGUGGGAACGUGCCUUUAGGUUCGGAGUAACUCAGGGAAACUUGUGCUAAUACCGAAUGUGCCCUUCGGGGGAAAGAUUAAUCGCCUUUAGAGCGGCCCGCGUCUGAUUAGCUAGUUGGUUGAGGUAAUGGCUCACCAAGGCGACGAUCAGUAGCUGGUCUGAGAGGAUGAUCAGCCACAUUGGGACUGAGACACGGCCCAAACUCCUACGGGAGGGAGCAGUGGGGAAUCUUGCGGAAUGGGCGAAAGCCUGACGCAGCCAUGCCGCGUGAAUGAUGAAGGUCUUAGGAUUGUAAAAUUCUUUCACCGGGGACGAUAAUGACGGUACCCGGAGAAGAAGCCCCGGCUAACUUCGUG
rnacentral:rRNA from 1 species